AUUUGAUAUGUUUCUUUUCAGAACUUGGAUUUUUCUUUGUUUCUACCCAAAGGAAGUGUCAUUGGAGAGCCGGAACCUGGAUUUUUUUUUUGGAUCCACCCGAAUCAAUUUUCCUCCGGGAGCCGGGGAUCCCCUUUUCGUUUUGGUUUUUGAAUUUUAGACUUAAAAUAUUUAAUGAACUGGGAUAUUUUUAUCAUCUAUCAAAAUCAAAAUUGUUUCAGGAGCUAAGUAACCUUUUUUCAUUUUCCACUUUACAUUUUCAAUGGUAUAUACAUGAUAAUUCAAUAUACA